UUGCAUCAAUACACCAAAAGGAUAUCUGAAGGUUUCAGAGGCAAACAUGGUAAAAUACGCACACACACAUAUAUCGUGCAUUAUUAGCAACGUGCUUUUCACGAUAAAUAGCAACAGAUACUCAGUACUGCAACCAAAACUAAACAGGGGAAAAACCAUACACCCUCACCCAGCAAUUGAAUUCAUUCUUUCAUGAAUUCCUAUGAACAGAUAUCGCUUUCAAAGUACAAAGGGAGUUUUUAAAUAAUUACAACUACGGAACUAACCAAGUUUUGAAUUUUGUUUUAUGAUUUGGUUCAAAAAAUCCUAACUGAUUAUUCUAGGAAUCUUGAUCUAACACAAACACACACACACACACACACAUAUAUAUAUAUAUAUAGAGNNNNNNNNNNNNNNNNNNNNACGUCCGCUCCACAUCCGGCCUAUAUAUAUAUCAAGUGUAUAAAAACUCAGACAUCAACAUUCAAGUUCAGAGGCAAUACCUUGCACAAUCAGUCCGAAGUUUUAAACCAACCAAAUCCAACAGGGGAAUGCUCAAACGAUUGAAUGAUUGACCACCAACUUGAUCAAAUCAAAUUGGUUCCAGACCUGUUUACUUUGGUAAUUUGAUGAAACAAAAACAAAUCAAGCCUCUAACAUUAGAAGUCUGUACAAUAUACUGUAAAAUUUCAAAUUCCCAAUUUCCUAUAUAUCAACUCUAGAACGUCAUUCCUGUUAGGGUUGCGGCUCAAAACUAAUUCCUUGUCUGUUUUGGAUUCUUUGCUUCUGAAGGUUUUGGGUAAGUUAUUCUAGUGUAUCUAGGAUUCUUAGAGUUUAUCCUUAGAAGUAAUGGUUUAGGAUUCCUGUUAUGGUUCUAAAUCCUAUUGUAAGUCGGACUAAUUGUGAGUCUAUAAAUAGGACCUUAGAAGCAUAGUUUUAGGUGUGGUGUGAUGUAGGUCAAUUGAGAGUUCUGAUCUUGAGAGUUGUAAGCUACGGAAGAUCAGAUGUAUUUGAGAGUUCUCUGUUGAUAAUCUAGAGUGUGAGGAGAGAGGUUAUUUGAGGGUGGAAGAACCGAAUUGUUCUUCAGUUGUAAUCUUCUUCUCGUUUAGUGGAUCUAUCAUCAUCACCCGAGGACGUAGGUCAUAUGAUUUGACUGAACCUCGUUAAAUAUCUUGUGUUCGUGUUAUAUGUAUCUUGUCAUUGUCUUCAUUCGGUAUCGGUCUUGGGCUAGGGAAUUCGGAGGGUGACCCGGAUUUCCUAACAAUUCCUAACCUAGAAGUCUAUUCAUCACAAUCGAUUAUUAAAAGCAACCAUCAUUCAAUUGAAGACAUAUACUUCAUCAAUAGACCCUAAAAGCCCAAUUAAAUUCAAUUAAGUCACGAUCAAAUUGAGACAGAUUUGAUGCAAUCACAGAAAACCAAAGGCGUCAGAAAUCCUCGUUCCCUAAUCCUUCGUUAUAUCUGUACCAAAAUUUCACCUCGAAAAAUCAAUACGGCUCAAAUGACCGGAUAAAAACAAAAGGAUCGAACGAAGUCGAAGAAUUAGAGAGAGAGAGAGAGAGAGAGAGAGAGAGAGAGAGAGAGAGAGAGAGAGAGAGAGAGAGAGAGAGAGAGAGUAGAGUAAGUAAGUAGUAGUAGUAGUAGUAGUAGUAGUAGUAGUAGUAGUAGUAUACUACUACGUUACGUUACGUUACGUUACGUUUACGUUUACGUUUACGUUUACGUUUACGUUACNNNNNNNNNNNNNNNNNNNNCCUGCCUUGAUGGAGAUGAAGUCGGGGAGGGUAUCAUUGGAGGUGAAGUUCUGGAGCAGAGAGAGAGAGAGAGAGACUUGUUGACAUCGUAGCACCGCGUCUUGAGAGGAAAUUGACUGAACAUGGUAAGGAAGUUGAAUCUUCUCUGAUCACCCAUCUUCUCCGAUCGCCCCUUUCUCUCUAUCUCUUCCCGAUACUCUGUGGAUCGGAAUGAAGCGGUGCGUGAAGGAUAUAAUAACAUUGACGCCAAAACAACAGCCAAGGGUAAAAAAAUCAUUCGAUGCGGACGGGUUGGACAAAAAAAUGACACAAAAUUAAGGGCAAGAGGGUCACGUCACUGUUCACGUGAACAGUAACUCACCCUCCUUGCUUAAUAUAUAGAGAUAAGAACCAUGUAUCAACAAAUUAAUUAAGGGCAAGUAGUAAAAUGUGGUACUGAUUAGUUCUAUUGUAUUGCAGGAGUUUCAAAUCUAUAUAUCAUCAGAAUCCAUCAAGAUAGUUGGUAACCAUGAGAGGCGUGGGACAUUAGGCCAUUAGGGACAGCAAGUGUAGCUUUACCAUGCGCAUAAGGAUUUGACGAAUCAGCCAGCUCUCUAUUCUCUUUCUCUCUCGCUUUAUUAUUCUUUUUUGUACUAGCUAUAGGUUUCCUUAAAACAAAUAAGUUUCAUACAGUGGUAUGGUAGAUAUGCGAAGGACGAUCCGUGUGGUUGUAUUGCUUUCCCUAUUAGACUAUGGAUUCACACUAUGUGCUUUCCUAUUAGAAUUUGGUUUACUAUUUUUCUCUAAAAAUCAUAGAUCAAUUAAAGAGAAAACCCCUAGCUAGCUGUGUGUUUAGUUUCUGCCGGAGCAUAUAUGGAGAAAACUGAUGAUGAUUCCAACCUGCAGCGAAAUCAUAUGCUUCGAAAUACUCCCAAGGUUACCGUGAGCAUCUAUAAUGCACUUUCGGUACGUUAGCAAGACAUGGAAAGCUCUCGUCACCGCCAACCCAGGAUUUUGGAGGAUCCAUCGAAACCUCCACCCCCAUAACACUGGUCAUCUCCUUCUAGAUGCUCACGGCUCCGGCUCCUUGGCUACCCGAAAGCACUACCGUCUCCUUGUCAAAGCCAGCCAAGAAGGAAAUACUCCGUCGAAUUGUUAGGGUGAUAACCCAUAGAGAAGAAAGAGAGAAGAAGAAGGUGAGAGAGAGAUAAAGAUAAGAACAUCAAUUUCAUUCAUAGUCCCUAAAUAGGGUUACAGCUGAGGCCUAAAUAGCCUUAUCAUGUCCAACAUGUGUCAAACAUGUGUGGCUUCUCCUUAAUCAAAACAAAUCAACUUAAUUAACUUAAGACAUCAUUAAUCAACUCAUAAAAGCAUGUGCUGAUCUUGUGAGCUGCUAAUUCUCCAAGUCAGUUUCGUAACAAUCCAGCCCCCUGAAAGACAGCUUGACCUCAAGCUUUAAAAUUCAGAAACCUGUGCAUGAUCUCUGCAGCUGUUUCCCAUGUAGUUUCUUCAGCACUCGCACCAAUCCAUUGCACCAAUCAUUUAGUUACUAGAAGAUCAUUCUCUUUCCAAACCUGUCUUGCAAGGACUGUAGAGGGGUACCAUCUCGGAUUAUAGGGAUCCAAAUCUGGUGGGAAAUGAGCAGCCACAACAGCAUUGUCUCCCACCUUCUUCUUAAGCAAUGAUACAUGAAGCACAGGAUGCACCUUAGCAGUAGCUGGCAGCUUAAGCCUAUAUGCAACCUGUCCAAUCCUCUGCUCAACUUGAUAUGGACAGUAGUAUCUUGGAGACAGUUUGUGAUUUCCCCUUCUCUUCACUGACUGUUGUUUAUGGGGUUGCAAUUUCAAAUACACCCAAUCACCUUCUUCAAACACCCUCUCAGCAUGCUUCCUUUCAUAAGCUUGUUUCAUUCUUGCUUGAGCUACCUGCAAAUUCCUCUUCAACACUGCCAUGAGUUCAUCUCUACUUUGCAGCUCUUGGUCCACUGAUGCAACAGUUGUUGAGCCUGGUACAUAGGCUUGAACUGGUCUAGGGUCAUAACUAUAUAAUGCCUUAAAUGGAGUCAUGCCAAUUGCAGAUUGGUGAGCAGUAUUGUACCAAUAUUCAGCCCAAGGUAGAGAACUUGCCCAAGCUUUUGGCUUUUCUCCAACCACACAUCUUAGAUACUGUUCAAGGGUCCUAUUCAAGUUUUUUGUUUGACCAUCAGUUUGUGGAUGGUAAGCAGAACUUUUAUACAAGGAGGUACCUUGUUCUUUGAAGAAAGCUUCCCAGAAAAAGGCUUAGAAAAACUGGAUCUCUAUCAGAAAUAAUGGAUUCUGGCAUUCCAUGUAAUUUGUAGAUGUGUUCAAUGAAUAACUGAGCCACAGUAGCUGCUGUGUAAGGAUGUGCUAAUGCCACAAAAUGAGCAUACUUAGUGUACCUAUCAAUUACCACACAAAUAACAGUUUUACCAGAUGAGUUUGGAAGGCCUUCAACAAAGUCCAUAGAAAUUUGACUCCAAGCUUUUUUUGGUAUUGUGUUAGGCUGCAAAAGACCUGGAGGAUUUACUGUCUCAUAAUGUUGUUGCUGACAAAUAUGACAUGAUGCCACAAAUGUUUUGAUAUCACUAUGCAUCCCAAGCCACCCAAAAGAUCUCUUAAUCAUCUUCUCAGUCCUGUGUACUCCAACAUGCCCUCCUUGCACUCCAUUAUGAAAUUCUGCUAUUAUCUUCCUUCUCCACUCAUCCACUGUUGGCACAAACAAUUUGCCUUUGUAAUACAAUUGAUUUUGGCACAAUGUAUAUUUGGAGUCAGAACAAGUCCCUUGCUGCAACUGAUUGAUAAGGGUGCUAGCUUCAGCAUCCAACCUGUAAACCUGCAAGCAACUUGUAUAUCCAAGACAUAAUUGUGAAUUGGUGUAGAAACCCCAAUUAUAGCAUUUAAUGACCCAUAUUUAUCCACUACAUCAGCUGAUAUGUCUCCCAAUUCUUCUCUUCUGGAUAAGGCAUCAAGAGCAGCAUUGUUCUUCCCAGCCCUGUAACAAAUUGAGUAAUCAUAGCCAGCUAACUUCAACAACCAUUUCUGUUGAGCAAGAGUGUAAAUUUUCUGCUCCAAGAAAUGUUGAAUGGUUCUAUGGUCAGUGUAUAUGGUGAACUGAGAACCCAACAAGUAAGGUCUCCAAUAUUGCACAACAAACACCACUGUCAUCAUAUCAUAAACUGAAAGAGCCAAGUGUCUUGGUGCUAAUGCCUUGCUUAAGAAGGCUAUGGGAUGACCCUCUUGUGACUAAACAGCACCUAUCCCAAUUCCAGAUGCAUCACACUCAAGUACAAAGGGUUUAGAAAAAUUUGGAAAUGCCAAGACAAGAGUAUUCAUGAGAGCAUAUUUCAACUUCUCAAAGGCCUGUUUAGAUUUCUCAUUCCAAUGAAAUCCACCCAUUUUCAACAUAUCAGUCAAGGGUUUAGCAAUAAUUCCAAAGUUUCUAACAUACUUUCUAUAAUAACCUGUAAGGCCAAGAAAACCUCUCAACCCCUUAACUGUAAGUGGCUUAUUCCACUGUUUGAUGCACUCAAUUUUUGCUGGAUUAACAGAAACUCCAUCCUUACUAAUAACAUGUCCCAAAUAUUCCACCUGAGGAACUCCAAAAUUGCACUUACUUUCUUUGAUCUUGAGCUGAUGUUGUUGUAAUCUGGAAAAGAUUGCCUCCAAAAGUGUCAAGUGAUCUGCUUCAGAAAUACUGUAUAUCAAGAUACCAUCAAAGAAUACUAGUACACCUUUCCUUAAAUAAUCCCUGAGAAUAUCAUUCAUCACUGACUAGAAUGUCGAAGGAGCAUUAGUCAGACCAAAUGGCAUAACCAAAAACUCAUAAUGGCCAUUGUGAGUUCUAAAUGCAGUCUUCUCCACAUCAGCCACAUUCAUUAUGAUCUGGUGAUAACUAGACCUUAAGUCUAACUUGGUAAAUAUGACUGCUCCCUGAACUUCAUCUAGUAAUUCAUCUACUACAGGUAUGGGAUAUUUGUCUUUAACUAUCACUGAAUUAAGAGCCCUAUAAUCCACACACAUUCGCCAACUGCCAUCCUUCUUAUUGACCAAUAAAACAGGAGAUGAGAAAGGACUUUUGCUUGGUCUUAUCACUCCAUUAUCUAACAACUCCUGCACAAUUUUCUCAAUCUCAUUUUUUUGAAAAUAGGGAUACCUGUAUAGUCUUACACUUACAGGGGGGUAUUUGGUAACAACUCAAUGUUGUGAUCUUGUUGUCUUGCUGGGGGAAGUGAAGUUGGGGCUUCGAAGAGUUCUGCAUAUUUUUCCAUCAACCUCUUGAUAUUUGCAGGAGGUUUCUGAGAUGGUAACUUAACCCCAGUUGCUUGUACUUGAAUGAGCAUAGCCUCCUUCUCAUUCCUUAACAACCUGGUCAUUGCCUUGCACCCAAUGACUUUAGAUUCACUAGAUAACUCACCCUGUAAACAAUAUUCUUGUUGUGACACAGUGAACUUCAUCUUCAUUGUUUCAAAGUUCCACAAUAUAUCCCCUAAAGACUUCAACCAAGAAGCUCCCAAUACAAUUUCACAACCUGUCACAGGUAAUAUGUAAUAAUCAUUAGCACAAUUAUAACCCUGUAGAUUAAGCUCAGCCCUUACCUCCCCCUUUGUUUGCAUUUUUGCACCACUUGCAAGAGACACAUUUAAUGGGGCAAAGUGAUGGACUGGUAAUCUAGUGCCUUUUAGAAGCUGUGGAUGGAUAAAAUUAUGGGUUGCACCAGAGUCAAUUAGAACAUGCACUUUUCUGCCAGCAAACACUCCCUUAAGCUGCAUGGUUUAAGCAUUAGACUCAUCACUCAUGAUGUGCAAUCUGAUCAUUGGCUCUUCUAAAUCAUUGAUAGGAGGAAUUGCCAUUGAUGCAUCAUCAUCUAACAAAUGCACCAAUUCUUCUUUAGCUAGUAUAAUUUCCAAGCUCAUAAGCUGACCUUUCUUCCUGCAAUUAUGUCCUGGCACAUAAGGUGAAUCACAGAAAUAGCAUGUUUCUUGGCCCUCCUAGCCUCAAAUUCAACAUUAGUGAGCUUUAGUCGCAAACUGCUGCUUGGUUGAGCUUUGAUGAAUUGGUUUUGGGGGAUAAGAUGGUAACACUGGGCGUGUGCCAAUACCAGAAUGUGAAGACCUUGUUAGUUGAACUGAGGACUGGUUUGGUGAAAAUCUGUUGAUGCUAGCACGAUUUCUCAAGUUGUUAUUCCUGCUCUCAAAUACUCUAGCCAACUCACAAGCUUCAUACAAUGAAGUAGGUUUCAAGGCUUGUACAUCAGCUAUAAUUUCUUCUUUCAGACCCUCAAUAAAAAAUGUGACUAGAAGCUCAUGAGAGAAAGCAAGAGCUCUUCUAGAUAAUCUAGUGAAUUCCUCCAUAAACUGUUCCACAGUUCCAGUUUGGUCCAUCCUUGCCAACGAAGCUUGAUACUCGGCUCUAUUGUAACUACUAAAUUCCCUCAUCAAAAGGUCUGCAAGCCCUUGCCAUGUCUGAGGAAAUUCAUGUCGAAACAUAUACCAACGAUUUAAAGCCUUCCCUGACAAAUGCAUAACUACCAGUGAUAGCUUCCUCUCUUCCGGAAUUUGGUAGAAUUCAACAAUCUGUUCACAUUUGUUUAACCAUUCCACUGGAUCCCCUCCCUUAAAACUGCUAAAUUCAAACCGCAUCUGUUUCAUUGUAGGAAGAUUUGGAUCAAAACCAAACCCUUGUGUUUGCUGCUGUGGAAAGGAACUGUAAGGAUUAGAAACUGGUGAAGCCUGGUAUGACACAUUGGGCUGAUGGGGAUAGGGUUGACUCGAAAAUGAGCUAGAAUAGGCAUGAUAAGUUGGUGAACUUGGUGGGAUGGUUGAGUUGGCACCUGUUCUAUGAGCACGAUAAGUGACAGUAGUGGCAAAAGUAGCAGGAGCAGAAGAGUACUGCAAAUUUGGGUUGGAUUUUUGACAUUGGUGCUGCAUAGUAGCACAAUCAGUCAUGGUAGCAGAAUAAGGCCAUGUAUAUGUCAUUGAAAAUGACUUUUGUGAGUUAGAACUCCCUUGCUUAGGAACCAUCUGACCCAUAUAAGGAGGAGCACCUAAAAUGGAGUGAACAACAUCUCCCUGUGCCUGCGUAUUACCCAUAAUAGAAGCAAAUCCAACAGAAGUUGCACUCUCACCCACACACUUAGUACCAGAGACAGUCAUCAUAUCAAUAGUAUCAUGCAUCUCAACACCAGAUACAUCAAUAACACUAAUGACUGGUUGAUCCAAGCUAGUACGAGCAAAUGAAAACACAUCAUGUGGAUCUAAGUUAAAUUCAGGGAUUAGGUUUAGAGAUGGAAUACCCUCAAAUCUGGCCAUUAUCGAAGACAAGGACCCUCCAGAAGGCGGAAGCACUGGUUUUAGAAUUGGAGAGGCUAUCGAUCCAAAUCUAACUGAUCCAUCAGGUUGAGUAACAGCUGCAGUAGAAGACUGAGUUUAAGGCGUGUUGUUCACACAUGCCACCAACUUUGACAUCUCAUGCUGCAUUCUAUCCACCAUUAAACUCUAGAAAUCCAAAAAGGAAGCCUCCAUUGAAGCUUUUAGUGAAGCCUGCAGCUGCGCUUGCAUCGUAUCGAGCUGAGCAGCAGUCUCUUGUCGAUGGGCCUGAAAUUCGAUUUCCAAGUGAGAGGGCUCACUGGAAAUCACAGGAGUGUCCGAUGAGGACUUGCUGGUGUUCUUCGCCUUUCCAGCCAUGACCGGAGAGGCUCUGAUACCACCUGUGUCACAUCCCGACCUUUAAAUUUUUAUCUUAUUUACUAGCUUGAUUAUAAUAAGAAUUUUACCGUCUCCGUCAAUGAAGUUAUAGUUUAAUUGGUCCCUAGAGAGGUUUUGAGGGACGAUUAUUUCGGAAGAACUAUUUGUAGGAGAAAAAUAUGACGACGGUAAAAAUGGUAAAUUUUAGCUAGUAAAAGGUUAUUUUUAUUAAGGUAUUAUAUUGGGGUGUAAAUUUUUGAUGGAGUUGGGUAUUUUUUUUUUUUAGUUUGGCCGGUUUAGGGUUAAAGGCCCAAAACCCAUAUUUUUUUCUCUUCUCUUUUUCUUCUCUCUUCCUCUCGGUUCUUCCCCUCCCGAGCUCACUCUCCCUUCGCCAGAAAUCCUCCGCACGCCGCCGUCGUCCGGCCGAGCUAGGCUGCCGCACUGGUCCUAUCUAGACCGGCGUCUCCUCCUCUCUCAUCCUUGGCCGGUGAGCGCUGCCACGUCACGGCCGAACGGGAGGAAACCCGUCCCGAAGGGGAGACUGUGUUGUCGCCGGAGCUCCCUCCUCCGGUCACCAAUCCGGGCAAGCUAUAUGCGGUUUUGUAGGUCUCCAACCCAGCUGCCUUGCCCUAAAAGGACUCACUCUGGUUCGCUUCAGGUAAGGAGAAAUUUGAGGCGGAAGUUCUAGGGCGUUUUUGUGUUGUUUUUGCUCGAUUGACCUAGUUAGGCUUGGAAUUGGGUGUUGUGCUAGUUAGGAAAGUUGUAAAGGGGUUGAGAGGAAGAUGCUGUCAAAUUUUCAUAGAAAUUGGAAGUCGCCAGAAUCGGCCUCCGGCCGCCGCCGUUUGGGAGAUUUUCAGGGUUUUAAAUGUGGAAUAUUAAGGGGAGUAUAUUGAUGUGAAUUAUGGAAUUUUCGGAUGAGUUUUGGAUAGGUUUGUGAAUUUCCGAAGUUUGGUAUUUUGGCGGUUAAUUAAUGUAGAAUCCGGUCGAAGGAUUUAAGCCAUUAAUCUGUGAAAUGUUGAUUUAAGGCUACCGGUAUGUUCGGUGAAGUUUGAGCCAUUUUGAGUUAGGCAUGGCGAAGUUGGGCAAUGAUGAGUGUGUGGGAGGCUCACGUUUAAUUUUCCCCAUUGUGUUUAAUUAUUGGAUUUUUAGUGGAAAAUUAAUUAUAUAUUUGGAACAGGACGAGAGGAGGCCCGAGCAGAAGAAGCCUCGCAGCGACAUCAGGUUUAGGCCUAAUUUGUGAGUGGACCUUUAUUUUAAUUGAAAAGCAUGCGAUGAAUUAUCUGUUGAUCAUUUAUUUCUUUUCCUGAAAUUUAUUUAUUUCUCGGAUAUUUGGCAAUUUUCCUCCUUUGGAGAGAUCCCGAAAAUGAGAUUUUCGGUGGAUAUGUUUAUGGAUAUUAUGAGUAUAGUAUGUAUAUAAAUGCUAGCUAGCCAUACGUGCUUGAUCCGUCAUAAUGAGGUAAAAUGCCAUUAUGACGUGACGUGAGUGUUAGACACUAGCGUCAUAGCCCUAUAUGAAAACUACUUUCUUUUCUGGUUUAUUUAGGUUUUCAUAUAGGGAGUCCACACGUAUAUAAAUACACCGUCCUCUACGGUCAUAAUGAGGAAAAAUAUCAUUAUGGCGCAACGUGAGCGUUAGACGCCAGCGUUGUAGCCUUGUAUGAAUUUCUAUUUUUCUAAAUUGUUUCUAGGAUUCAUACAAGAAGUCUGACGAGUGUAAAUACAUACGAAUAUAUGAUUAUAUAUAAUUAAAUUAAAUUCAGUUUACCCCCAUGAGGUUUGGGAGUAACUUCAUGUUAAUCCCUAUACUUUCAAUUUCAUCAGUUUACCCCUCAAACUUUUGAAUUUUCCUCAAGCGUGACCAAUGUCCUAUAUUCUGUCCAAAUCGGACGUUAACUGCUGAUAAUUUUAACCUUAACUGUGAGGCCCGUAUCUAGAAUUUGGGCAAAUUGGACCUUAUCUGUCCAAAUCUAACCUUAACUGCUGAUAAUUAACAGUCAAUUCAAACAGAAUAUGAGAAUUUAGGCACGGCAGAUAAAAAUUAAAGAGUUCAAGGGGUAAAUUGAUGAAAAUAAAAGUGUAAGGACUAACAUGAAGUCAUCCCCAAACCACAAGAGGGUAAACUGAAUUUAAUUCUAUAUAAUUUAGCCUGAGAGGCUCCAUUUUAUUUGAGUUGGUGACUAGCCGGAGCUAGUCGUGAAUUUACCAGUUUACGAGUUGAGCGCUUUUGAGCUGCCGCAUGCAGUAUAUUUUUCUUUGGAGAUUAAAAUGGGGAAGCAUAAAAAAAUAUUUUUAUUAAUUUAUUUUUGUCCACUCAACGUUAUUAAAUGUUUUCCCAUGGGCCCUUCGUUUUAAAAUGCCCAGUCUGCAGAGUACGGGUUGGACCUAGUAGGAGACGAGGCAUAGUCACCCGCAUUUCCACCACUUUUCAUCCGUAGGUUACCUGUUUAACCUACCUGUGUUUUCUUACUUCCGCUAGUGUCUAGUAGCUCUGAAUACUUGGGUUUAAUGUAUAUUAUUUCGGUUGUGGGUGAAGGCUUGUUGACAUUUUAGAAUAUUUGUCGGAGGAUUUAUGUUAUCUUAUUUGGAUAAUUAUGUUUUGAUGUUUGGAUGAUGUUGUGUUGUUGUUAUUGGUGGUGGUUGUGUUUGGGGAGCACGUAGGCUCCAGAAGUUAAGGUUGGAUUGAGAAUUAUUGGAGUGUUUGCAUAUUCCUUCCGGAAGGGUUGUCCAUUUUCAAGGGAGGUCAUGCCGAUUUUUCGGUAAUAUCUUCCUUGGAGGUAGUCCCCGCACGUCUUACACCGGGUUUCAGAGUGAAAUUCGGGGUGGGUCGUGUCAACCUAUUAGGGUGAUAACCAUUAGAGAAGAAAGAGAGAAGAAGAAGGUGAGAGAGAGAUAAAGAUAAGAACAGCAAUUUCAUUCAUGGUCCCCAAAUAGGGUUACAGCUGAGGCCUAAAUAGCCUUAUCAUGUCCAACACGUGUCAAACAUCUGUGGCUUCUCCUUAAUCAAAACUAAUCAACUUAAUUAACUUAAGACAUCAUUAAUCAACUCAUAAAAGCAUGUGCUGAUCAUGUGAGCUGUUAAUUCUCCAAGUCAGUUUCGUAACACUUCGAAAUACUCCCAAGGUUACCGCGAGCAUCUAUCUAUAAUGCACUUUCGGUGUGUUAGCAAGACAUGGAAAGCUCUCGUCACCGCCAACCCAGGGUUUUGGAGGAUCCAUUGAAACCUCCACCCCCAUAACACUGGUCAUCUCCUUCUAAAUGCUCACGGCUCCAGCUCCUUGGCUACCUGAAAGCACUACCUUCUCCUCGUCAAAGCCAACCAAGAAGGAAAUACUCCGUCGGAUAUCACUGACCUUGUGACACUGCCAUGUCCAUUAGUCCAAAUGGGAUAUGCUAACAGCUUGGUAUUAGGACACUGUGGUUGGAAUAAUCCCACUCGUAUAGUUAACCUCUUCACCCGAGAGUCUGUUAUUGUUCCCUAUCUUACUUUCCAGUAUGAAAAGUUGUAGUACAAACCAAUGUUUUAAAAGGCUAAGGUGUAGCCGAGGCAAUGGCACGAAAGCCUCACCAAGGCGCUUGCCUUGAGGCGUAGGCGUAAGGCGUAAGCCUUUUGAAAAAUAACCUGUAUUUAUGUUAUUAUUUCUCCUAUAUAUAUAAAACAUAUAUUGCAAUCAACACAACAUUAUACUAGCCUUUCUGCACGCGCAUCGGGCCGCGCUCACGAGUAUGUUUAUGUUUAUUGUUCAUUAUUUUGUGGUAGAGUUGACAUAUCGACUUGGCUAUUGUCUUGAAACUUUUACAAUUUGAGUAUUGAUUCCUUACGAUAAAGUAUAUUUUAUUAUAAUUUUUUAAUAAAAAUGUAAGACAAUGUUCUUCUUUGUUAAUCAACCUUCUUCAAUGUGAAUAGAACUAUAGAAGUAUCUGCAUAACUAUCACUUUAUAAAAUGCUAUUUGACCAAAAUUUCAUACACCAAUAGUUUCAAACCUUGCAUUUGCAAUCCCCUUUAGAAUGUUUGUACUUGGACACCCAACUAAAAGAAAAUACACAGAUACAAAUAGAAAUUUCUGAGCAAUAUUUCAUUUUCGAUGAGCUUCUUCUUCAGCAUAGUUUUUGGUAUCUGAUUUGGCACUCCAGAUGCCACCACCAAACCCCCACCUAUUCUUUAUUUGUCAUACUCUUAUGCAUCUCAAGUCCAUCAACCCCUCUCAUAUUCCACUGAAAUUAUCAAGUCUUAUUUCUCUCUCUGUAGUUACGUUUCUUGUUGAUCAGCAGCCAUAUUUCUCUUUUUCCUAUUUCGUUGCUUGUUAUAUAAUGGCCAUCUAGUACCUCUUUAACACCCUAGAUAGGCAAUCACCAUGAUCAUAUGACAUUAGGGGUCAGAAAUCCAACCUCUUGUGGCUAAGAUUAUAUGCUGCAAAAGCCGUCUCUUCCAUUGCCUGGAAAAAUAAAAAUAAAACUUUUUAAUGACAUACUGAAGUCACAAUAAUCUCACUAAAAAUACAAACCAAUUCCCUACAUCUUAAUAACACAAUCAUGAAUUCAUGAUUGGUAAACCAACGUAUCCUAUUCCUCUGUACCUGCUGCUUCACCAAAAAGCACAUAGGGCCACUAAGACAUUCCCCAUAAUCAUUGUUCCACAUGUUUGAACCCAAGCAGCUUCUACGUACCCAUCUGAUAAAUAUUAUACAGGGACAAAAGAUAAUUUGAAAUAAGUAUUCAUUAAUAUCAACUGGUUACAUAAGCUAGAUUAAUCCAUACAUGAAACACGCUUAUUCAACUUCAUUCACGUUAAUUGUCUAACUGUGUAAGAUACUACAGAAAAUCAACAUCAGUAAAAAAACAAUCUAAGAGUACAACCAAAAGGAAUGAAAUAUACUCACCCACAAUUGCAACAUCUUCAGGAAAAAAAAAAAAAAAAGGUUUCGAUUUCCUCUCUUCCUUUAUUUUCUCUCUCACAUUGGUUAUCUGUUUUUUCCCGUUUGCUUAAAUAAAAUAAUAAAUGAUAGAAACGGUUGUGCAUUGUGGCAGUUAUCCCCUCGUCUCUGCUCCCCUGUUGUUUCCCAUUUCUCCCUUCCAUCACGAAGGCGUCUUCCACGUAUAGAUCUAUAUUAACGUGGGAGAACAACUGCAAAUCAGAUUUCUUCAGAAACUGAAACUGUCUUAUUGUAUUAGAUUACUGCUUUACCCUUCAAUUAUUAUUUCAUGGCUUAGUAAACUUAUAAAGAGAGGGGCAAUUUCAGGGAUUAAGAUAAAUUUAACCACGACAGUUUUAUAAAGCAAAUUGGUUUAAUUAAUAGAGAUAUUGUCAUAUAUAUUUCUAGUAAGUAUUCAAACAAUACAAUUUAAGCAAUCAUCAAACAUAAAAUACAUCCAAAGGCUCAAGUUGAAAGAUCAAAAGAAAAUAACAAUAAUUGAAAUAAACUUCAUGCUUUAAAAUCAUCAUCAUCAUCAUCGUCAAUUAAGAUAUCUCCAUCCAAACUAUCAUCACCAUCACUAUUAAAUCCAUAUAUUGUAAAACAGCAUAUAUACUCUAGUACAAUUAAGAAAACACACAACUUUGAUUUCAAACAAGUUGAACAGUCAAGAAGCAGGUUCCAGUUGAAUCGGAAUGAAUGAUCAAUCUAAUCGCGCAAACCAAAAAUUCACAAGCUUUAAGAUAACAAAUGAAUAACCCAGAUGUGCGUACCUCAAAUUCAACGGCGACCGAAAGCUGAAGCCAAGCCCAGCCAAACCCAGAUGUGUUCGCAUUGUGGAAGGACUGAAGGAGGCAAAUCGGGAGAGGGAGAAGGAAUGAAGCAAAUCGGGAGAGGGAAGGAGGCAAAUUAGGAUAGGGAGAGGGAAGGAAGCAAAUCGGGAGAGGGAGAAGGCAAAUCGGGAUAGGGAGAGGGAGAGGGAAGGAGGAGGCUGUGUUUGGGGGAGAGGGAGGCUCGAAAUGGCCAAACGACCCAAACCUAGCCUUUAUUUCAAAAACCUAAACUACCCCUUUUUGAAGACGCACGCCUUUCCCGCCUUAUGUGCGCCUUUGCGCUUUUCAAGCCUUGUUCUGUGUUUUUUGCGCCUCUGCGCCUGANNNNNNNNNNNNNNNNNNNNNNNNNNNNNNNNNNNNNNNNNNNNNNNNNNNNNNNNNNNNNNNNNNNNNNNNNNNNNNNNNNNNNNNNNNNNNNNNNNNNNNNNNNNNNNNNNNNNNNNNNNNNNNNNNNNNNNNNNNNNNNNNNNNNNNNNNNNNNNNNNNNNNNNNNNNNNNNNNNNNNNNNNNNNNNNNNNNNNNNNNNNNNNNNNNNNNNNNNNNNNNNNNNNNNNNNNNNNNNNNNNNNNNNNNNNNNNNNNNNNNNNNNNNNNUUUUUAAAACACUGGUACAAACGAGUAUAGGGUUGUGGCAACCCAAGAUAUUGCAGGUUUAGUUGGGUUUAAGAUUUUCACACUAGGUCAAGGUUCAUGGAGGAACAUGGUGGUAGACUAGCUUCACCUGUCAUUCGUUCAUCCUCCACCUUCGAACUUCAGGAAUAGUGUAUGUGUCCAUGCAUGGAGUCCUACACUGGUUGGCUCCUAGUAAUGAAACUAUAUUUGCUCUUGACAUUGGAGAUGAGAGGUUAAGAAUCAUACCAGUACAUUCUUAGUGCAAGUUGAUCCAAAUAUACGAAAAGGUUAUCGAAGUGGAUAAAUGUCUCUGUAUAGCAUGUGGGGAUUAUGAGAUGGAUGGGAUGAUGUUCUGGAUUUUGAAGGACUACAAACAUCAAGUGUGGGUUGCGGAGACUAUCAAAGUUCCCUGUCUACGUUACCGUAAUUCUUACAUGCCUCAGUGUACCACCCACACUGGUGAGCUUGUAUUUGGCGUUUCUCAAGAAAAUUAUCUCCAAUUAUAUAACAGGAAAAGUAAAAGCUCUCGGCAAAGUGCAGUCAUAUUUUCUGAAAUGUUGCGUGAUCUUGGAUUGAGACUAAGUUCUUCCGUUGUUAGUUUUGAUGAUUCAAUUGUUCCCUUAUAAUGAGAACUGAAUAAUCGAGAAAUUAUCGAUAUUAUUUCAAGAAUAAUAAAGAAACAAUGGAGGAUGUUUCAUGUAGAUCACUACUUGAUAUUUUCAAUUUAUAAAUUUUCGUAGUUUAGUUGAGAUGUUUUUAAUAUAUGUGCUUCAGCAGAACUAUAGCUUGAAUGGAGGAAGUAAUGUGAAUGUCAUCCAUUACAAUGUUUAGGCAACUUGAAGGUCCUAGGGAGGGGGGGGGGGGGGGGGGGGGUGAAUAGGCCUUUAUUACUUUUUCGUCCGAUUUCGUUCACAAGGAUAGCAAACAUUUAGCUAUCCUGAUAACAGGAAGACGUAGUAAUAAAUAAAAGAACAAGUACUGGAAAGUAAAAGAAAUAACACCAGUACGUUUUUUAUUCGCAGAAACCCUGCACCAGGGAGAAAAAAUGCGUGCCCCUAACUCUUGAGGGACAAACCUUUCCACUAUGUAAAACUCACUUAUUACAAGAUUAUAGUCUAGGGAUACAACGACGAUUUGCAAUCCUGCCUAGUCUACCCACUAGUCUAGAUCUAUCUCUCCUGUCUCUGAGUGACUCACCUCACUCCUCACAAGAUUAUAGUCUAGGGAUACAACAACGACUUGCUAUCCUGCCUAGUCUACCUACUAGUCUAGACCUACCUCUCUUGUCUCUCAAGUGUUUACAUAUGAAGGUAUAAGAAGAAGUUUCAACUCAAAACUCAGCUAACGCCUUUAACUGAUUCUUCUUGAACACUUCUCAGAAUACUCAACUCAGAACUCAGCUAUCCUAAUUAGAGGGAUUCUUCAGACCUCAGCUAACACCUUUAACUGACUCUCUAGAACUCAGCUCUCCUCGAUCAACUGAUCCUUCUUGAGUACUUCUGGGGUUGCUGCACUACCAUCACUCAUGAUAUNNNNNNNNNNNNNNNNNNNNNNNNNNNNNNNNNNNNNNNNNNNNNNNNNNCUCCGCCUCCUCCCUCCUCCCUCCUCCCUCCUCCUCCCUCCUCCCUCUCCCGGUCUCCACCUCCUCCCUCCUCCCUCGCUCUCCCGGUCUCCAAGGUUAGCGUUUUUCUUCUUUUUUACCCUUGAUUUCGAAUUGAUUUUUAGGUUAUGUUUUAUGUUUUAUGUACUGUCUAAUUUCCCUAAUUUAUGUUUAGGAGAUAAAUUAUCCUCAUUUUUUAAACAUAUGCUUUGUUGAUAAUGAACUUGAUGCUUGCAUUCCAUGAUUAGCUACUGCAUUCAUUGUGGGCUGGGUACGAAUUUUUAAACAUAAGAUACAAAAUACAAAAUAGAAAAACCUAUAUCAAAUCCGGAUGAAUAUAUAUAUAUAUAUUUUUUUAUUGAAUUUAUAUUUUUGAAUAAGUAUAAUUUUAAACUUAUAUAUAUUUCACAUUAUAUUAAGUGUUUAAAUUUAAGCAUGAACAUAAUGAAAAAAAUAUGGUUUCAAAAAUAUUUUCUAUAGAAUAAAGACAAAAUAAUCUAGAGCCUUAGAUUUGAGAAGGAUAAGAUUGAAUAUUUACUUUUUCAAUGUUGCCUCAACCUGGAUUCAAAUUAAUAUUUUAAAUAGGAUGAGCGGCUAUUUUAGAUCGAAGAAGAGUUCGAAGUGCCAAAGGUCCGAAUCGUCUGAGGGAACCUCUAGCAACCCCCAAACGAUGUUUCAGGGCCAGAUGACAGCCAAACGUGCGAGCCUUCUGGAGACGGCGCAGAGGCAGCCGGAGGUGCCUCUUUCAUCGAGGCAGGCGGUCGUCCCUCGUUCCUCGAGGCAGCUGUGGCCUCAGACCCAGACGGAGGUGUCUGCACCCCGUAUGCCUGAGAUACACCGAGCGCCCACUCCGGGUCCUACUUCUUCGGAUAAUGGGUCAUCUGGGGUACAGAUGGCGCCGCCUUAUCUGUUCCUUCUGCGAAUGAUACCGGCCUUACCUGUAGUCGAUGGCUCAGGGACGCCGAUUUAUCCACUGCCCCCGCCAGUGGCUCCAUCAGCGGCGUACCGGUUCGUGCCUUUUGAUACGCCUCUUAUUUCCACGAGGGUAUCAUCAUCGGCGACAUAGACUGAAUACGUCGCGUCCGCCGCGAGCGCCUCAGGUAAUCAAUGAUGCAUGAUUAUUUUUCUUAUAAUUAAUAAUAAAGGGUCUCCGAUUUUAAUAAUCAAUUUGGUUUAUCAUGUGAUAGGCACCGUCGGAGCGAAGCCGACAAAGAAGAAGAGAGGCCCCGUCACAGGGAAGGCUCUCGAGAAGAUCGUGGGUACCGUGGGGAGGAUAGUCAUCAAUACUGACGGGGAUGGCCACAUAGUAUCGGGCGGGAAGUCGAGGACGUACUCCAGCUGCGUGGGAGCGCUCAUUAGGGAUAGAGUCCCUAUGUUGUGGUCAGACUGGGGCGAGGUCCCGCAGGAGGUUAAGAACAUGGUCCACAACGAGAUGUCGGUGAGUUUACAAAAUAAUAUUAUGUAUUACAUUGUUGAUUUCUCGAAAAACUAAACCAAUAAACGGUUAAAUGCAGGUGUGGUUUGAGAUUCCCGAGCACCUGAAGGACAGCUGGGCCGACGUUGUGCAUGGGGGAAGGUACGUUGGGAAGUUAAUGAAAAACAAAAUUGUAUGUGAUAUUAANNNNNNNNNNNNNNNNNNNNNNNNNNNNNNNNNNNNNNNNNNNNNNNNNNUAAUGGGUUUAUGAAAGAGUUUUUGCUCUUGCUCUUGCUCUAAGAUUUACAAUCACCAAGGGAAGACUUAGAGGCAAAUGAGCAAUGCAAGGUAAAACCUAUACCCAGCUAAAACUAUGUAGAAAACUACAUCUUGAACAACCAAAGAGCAAGAAGAGACUUGCUCCAUAUAUAUAGGCAAAGUGCAAGCUAAAGGAGAGCAUGCACGUUUACCAAAAUGGGAGGCAACUUUUGGACUUUAGUCCUUGUCCAAACUCAUAAAGUGAGAGGGCCAAAGGACAAACAAAAGGCUCCAAGAGAGUAAAGACAAACACAACUCUCUUAUAUGAUAAAAGGUUUUGUGAAUGAUGGAGACACAACAAAACAUAUUCCUAUAUGAGGACACAUAGGCCAGCUGAUAGCUUGGGCAGUGCAUCACAUGGCUUAGCAGCUGACUUGGUUUAUGUAUCACAAAACCCAGCUGGACUCAAAAAGGAGCUGACCUAAAAGUGCUCUAGUCAUGUGCUUAUGGGUUGGAAGAACAACACAACCCUAGACUAACUUAGAGCUCAAACACGAUGAAAAAUGUUUUGCUAAAAGAGAUUUGAAAUUCAAAUACUGAACAGCUGAAGCAAAACCAUUUAAAUCUGCACGAAGUCAGACUCAGAGAUUAGGAUAGAUACAACACGGGUAUCUACCAAAUCUGGAUGGCAAGCAGAGCUGCCAUCCUGAAUGAAUGUGAUGCACAUGCAUAAACUACCUGAUGUAUAUGAGAUAAAAACAAAUAGCCAGCUAAUAUAUUAGUUUGUGUAUCACAAACCUAGCUGGAGCCUCUAAGCUCUAGUCAUGUGGUCACGGAUUGGAAACACUACACAACCCUAGACUGACUUGAAGCACCAAGGCAACGACAAAUGUUUUGCUAAAGGGGAUUUGAAUUCAAACAGGGGAAUUCAAACUAAUGAUACACAAAUAGCAAAAGCAUUUAGACAUGCAUACAUAUAGACCCAAUAGAUUAGGACAGAUACACCAGGAGGUAUCAUCCGAUCUAGGAUGACAAGCAAAGCUGCCAUUCUCAGUGAAAAACAUGAGAUGCAUAUGCAUGAACUACCUGAUGCACAUGAGAUCUUGGCAGGUCUUCAUUCUUCACUUGUGAUAUCCUUACCAUCAGGAUAUGUAGAAUUCUCAGUGAAAAGCAUCAGAUGCAUAUGCACCAGUUACCUAGGACACAUGUGAUCUUGUCAAGUCUUCAUUCUUCACUUGUGAUAUCCUUACCAUCAAGAUAUAUAAAAUAGCUUGUGUCUUGUGUUUUGAUCAUAAAAGGGAUAGCCAACAAUCCUUAUACCAACACAACUCAUUCUCCCGCCAACGCAGUUCAAAUUGAUAGCUACCUCAUCAGCAGAAGAUCCAAAGACUCUACUCACUAAUUUUUGUGAGGACAAGUAGUGUUGAAAACGAAAAGGCGAUAAAUGGAAAAUCUGGUUUUAAUUAAGAAAGAAAGAUCCUCAAAUUAAAGAAAAAAAGAUUACAAAAUUGAUGAAGGAUCAGAAAAUCGAUCUGCAAUUGCACAAAGCUUUCUCUGCUUUUCCCCUUCAUCCAUAAAUGAUUUCGUGUCCCAGUUAUGAAGAAUAAACAACACCUGUAUAUAGGCUGCAUUGCGCAUUCACAACUGAAACUCCAUCUUUGAUGUUUUCCUUAAACUUCUUCUUCCACAUGUCUUCCUCUUCUUUAUUUCCCUCAACAAAACCCUAUCCCUUUCCUUUUCUUUGUUUCUCAUCUUAACUCUUUACGCAAAUGAGUCCAACCCCUACGAGAUCAGCACAACAAAAGCACACACGAGAAAAAUUGAAAGCAGAUUUUGCCUUGCCAGGGCCAAAAUGUGCUUUAUGAAAAUCAAUAUCAGAUUCAAGUCCUCAACGAACCCACAUUGUGUUUUUAUGUUUUGAUGAUGAAGCAAAGAGAAGAAAGAAAGUGAAAUGAUGCAUGGAGAGACUGAUCGAGUUAGAUCGAUCUUGAGUCUAGCUAUGACACAUUGAUUCAUUUGGUGAUUGCCGAGCGUCAGUCAUCCAGAGCUUUAACGUACUCAGAGCCUCGAGUUUGGUCCCCAAAAGCUAGCUAGCUCGAUAACAACUACGCAAUCUAGGGCCUUCUUCUUCCUCUAUAAAAUGAGGCUUACUUGCAUCCCAUCACCUCAUCAGAUCUCUAACUCAUCUCUGCAUACGCGCCCAAUUAAGUCGUGUACUGAAGUGCAGGGGGCAUUCCUAAUCAAUUAGCUGCAAAAUGGCUGGUUUUUCCCACAUUAAUGUUCAGGGUGAUAAUAACCAGCUGAUGAUUCCUGAGGGAACUAGAUGGGAAAACAUUAACAUUUCUCCUCCCAUGACGAUGGUCCCCAUGAUAAGCCAAGAGGAAGGCAGUAGUUCUAGGAAGCGUAGGCGAAAAUCGAAUAGAAAGGAUGACUUCCUAGCUCGACUUCAUCUGCUUGCGCCAAGAAUUCCAAAACGACCACCGCCAUCUCCGGUAGUACCUUUCCGUGUAAGUUUAGAACAUUUUCUGGUGGAGAUUUUCAGAUACAAAGUGUUUAUCUAAUGGGUUUUCAGCCUUGACAGGAUCGAUGAUAUACUAUACGCAUAUGCAUACAGCUGCUCAUAUAUAAAUUUUUAGUAAAGUUUGAAUGGAGGUUAACCAAUCUUAUUCAUUUCCGGACCCCAAAUUGACAUUUAUGUGAUCCUAUUGCCUCGCCCAAAAAUGUUUUACAGGGAUCAUCUUCAUAGAUCAUAUUUGACUUCUCAUUGUGUGAAGUGCAAAGCCUAAACAAUUAACUUUUUUUUUCUUUUUUUUUUUGGAAAAUCCUUGCUUGAUGUGAACUUCUAUAUUAUUAAGAUCAACUGAUCAAGUAAAUUCAUUUUCCAUGUAUACCUUAAGGUAAUUAAGGUGAUAUAUACGAUGUAAUUAAACGGUUGUGGCGCGUAAUUUUUUCAAAUAUCUACGAAUUAUUUUAUGCCUCGUGUCCGU
rnacentral:lncRNA from 1 species